rnacentral:rRNA from 1 species
UACAGAGGGGGCAAGCGUUGUUCGGAAUUACUGGGCGUAAAGGGCGCGUAGGCGGCCUGCUAAGUCGAACGUGAAAUCCCCGGGCUCAACCCGGGAACUGCGUCCGAUACUGGUUGGCUUGAGUUCGGGAGAGGGAUGCGGAAUUCCAGGUGUAGCGGUGAAAUGCGUAGAUAUCUGAAGGAACACCGGUGGCGAAGGCGGCAUCCUGGACCAAUUCUGACGCUGAGGAGCGAAAGCCAGGGGAGCAAACGGG